rnacentral:lncRNA from 1 species
GCUGGUCCUGUUUGGUCAAGGAUGGGUAUUGAACCUGUAAUAUUUGUGCCGGGACACAACAGCAGUCACUACAGAAGCACAAAUGAAAGCAGAAUGUGCUGAGGAGCUGAGGGAAAACUGAAGCCUCCCGCUGUGGACUUACAGACAGAACUAAGUCAGCACACAUUACAAGUCAAAGCAAACAUCAGACAGAAUGAGCGUCUUUGAUCUCAGACCUCCACAGGAAGCUUGGAUCUUAAGAAAAUUGUCAAAAUGUAAAUGAAUUUACUACAGAUAUGUGUCCUUAGGCGGUAAGGCUGGCAAGUACUUGCAACAUAUAGCUAAAUAUGUUGGGGAAAAUGCAGUUUUUUUCCCCUUCUUCGUCCCUUUCAUAAUUUUGC